UCUAAAGUGAAGCUGAGAAACUUUGCUGUUGUGGUUCUUCCAGUAGUAUGACUUAGUAGAGCUUGACAUUAAACAAUGCUAAUUCCUUCGAAGAAAUUGAAAUGAACAAUGUGCGUAGACAUCAUUAUAGGCUGAAGUCAGUCUAGAACUUAAAAUUUCAUGAAAUUAAGUACUUCUCGAAAUUUUUUUUUUUUUCGUGGUCGUAAAUAGGCACUACUGGACGUCUGUAUUAUCUGUCAUCUGUUGCAUCAUCUUUGUGCUCCUACUAACUCAUCCAUUUGAACCAGAUUUGCAGAGGUCACCGAGUGGUCAGACAAACCUACAGUAAAGGUAGCAGUCACAGUUGAUGCUCCAUCCAUCGUCAAACUACUCAUGGAUCGGCUUAUGGACUAAUAGAAACACACUUGAAACAGUUCUAUAUGACAAUCCGUAACUUCUGCUUCAAUGAUGCAAGUGUUAUCCACCAAGAAACCCUGUUUUGGAUCCUUGAGUUUAUGCAAUGACAUGAACUUUCUAGCACCCCAAUCCAGGAGUGGAGAAAAAACCGUUUGAACUGCAGGAAGGAAAAAAUGAAGAACAGGAAAGGGAGUUACAACAAGAAAUUAUAGCACUGAUGCAAUCUUUAUAUUGCAUUCAAAUUUUUCUCUAUGCCAGUUCAGAAUGGAUUUCACAAACAACUUAGUACUAGGAGGAAUGCUUUCCUUGUACAACGAUAGAAAUAUUGAAAUACUGUUGCCCUUGCCUUCUGCAUGUCCAUUAGGGUAGAGCGAAAUUCUCCUGCAUUAACGAAAUAUUAAUCAACCCAGGCAGUGGUUUAUCUAGCAAAGAAAAAUAAAAGCCAUUGCAUAUCAGAAGUGAAUUUGUACCAGUUAUAAUCUCCAAA